CUGCCACGAGCACAGGUGUCAGAGAGGAAAACAGCGCCAUAGCAGCAGAACCCAGUCAAAAGGAAUCCACGCUUCUAACUGAAAACUCUGACAAACUGGCACCUCCUACUGUUAAUGUACGUCGGUCUUUUGAGCAGAAAAGCAAACAAGAUGUGCCUGAGGGGGAACUGACUGAAACAGGUAUGGGAAGAGCUGGCUGGAAGCAGUGAAGUGGAGAGGACACUGGUGUCUGAAUGCCAGGUAACCAGAGGAUUGAGGUGUGUGAUGUUCUGACAGGUGACCCCUCUCAUCUUACCUGCCCACAGUCAGAAGAGGGAGUGAAUGACUCAUCUUAACUGGGACUGGGGGUUUGGGUGGGGGGGGGGGGGGGUCACCCUGUGAUGAUAUUUGCCUCACAUUUUCAGGUGUCAGUAUUAAUUCUCUGCAUUGGGAAACAUUAGAUCAUAUGACUGCAAGAAUUUGUUUCCUAUUACACCUAACAUUUUUCUGAGGGUGGAUCCAUUCCGAUGAUGGACCCAGUGUAGCAAGGUCAGCUGUAAAUUCCUUCUCAGCGCUGUAGCCAAAUUCCAUCCUUCAUUUCAUCAAUUAACCCUUCAAAGGUGUGUGAUCACAAGUACGCGAUUAGAAUGUUCUAAACUGAACAUUCUAAUGCUGAUGUAACAGUCACUGCCGGUAACUGAAAGCAGUGGAGUUCUAGAACACUGAUUCUGAAAAACAGUACAAAAAAACCUACUCUACAAAGGGUUAAAAGAAAAGAAAAUUAAUUUUACAUUCCAGAAUGAACUCCAGUUCAGUACAAUAUAUGGGCAGAUAUUGCUCGGUACAGAAUUUCGGUUCUGUCAGAAUGGAUAAUAAAGAAAAGACUGGAUGUCAUUUGUGUCUUUUUCUCCCUGGAGUGGAAUAGAACAGAGAGCACAUUUUCUCUGCUGUACUAAACCGUAAAAAAAGCAGAUAAGAGAGGGGGAGGGAGAUUUCUCUGCGUAAGACGACAGGAUCGCAAAAAGCCCAGUCAGUCAAUGUGUCUCUUAAAAGGCUGCACAUUAAGAUUUAUAUAAAAAAAACACAUCAGGACCACCUACACUCCGAGCCUUCAGAGAUCUACCUCACUGAAAAGGCACAGGAUGAAUCGGGGACGAGUGCAUGUAUGCUUAUAAUCCAAAAUGAAAAACAACAGUCUUCAGUGAUGUACUACGGAAAAUUAGGCCAGACAUUUCGCAAAAAAAAAUGUAUAAUUUCACCAUGUUCGUACACUGACUUUGGAGGAGUAAGAGAAGACUGUCCCAAAAUUUCACGCGAGCCAAUUGCUGCUUCGAGCUGCUCUGCGGGGAUGUAGCUGUCAAAGCUGGAGGAACGCCAGGGCCCUGUUCUGACCUUUUACAAAAGCAGAGGCCUCAACAAAUUCCGACGAAUCCAAUACCCAGAAAAACGCACCAGCCUUUAUGGACGUUUUUUAAAAAAAAUUUUAAAUGGCAGUUACUGAGCAUGUGUGUUUAAUUGCAAGUCAGCUGGUCCACUGAACCGUACAGAUGUUAAAUUAGUAGUUACACAAUCAAAUGAGCGUUUUCGUAGAAAUACAGAAAUCGUAUAGGAAAGGAGAGAUGGUUCCAGAUCUAACUUCUGUUACGAGGAAGCAGAUAACACCUAACCUCUUAAUUUCAGUUCGAGAAGAGUCGAGGGAUUUAAUGGUGAGGUUUUUAACAUUUUAAAUCGAGUGGACUUCUUAAGCUAUUUUAAGUAGAACUCCAGGAGUAGAACAACAGGAAAAAGAUGGAAAUUAGCUGAAGGAGAAGUUUCACUCUCAUUUUCUCAGGCUUCUUUAAGUAGUUUAAUCAGCUCAAAGAUGGGAUGGGAUUAAAUUGAAAAAGGCACCAAGCGUUAAAAUGGGGGGUGCAAAUCUAAAUUCCUGGAGGGUGCAUUCCAUCUUUCGUUCCUUCCAACCUCACCUCUUAAUUUCUUAAUCAGCGCAAUCAACUGCCACAUCCAGAAUUUUUUUUUUUUUUUUUUUUUUAGAAAACAAAUCACGGUUGAUUUUUGCAAGCUACUCAAAUGUUUUGCUGCAGUGCCUUCUAUGCCAAUUAAUUGGUUUAGAUCUGCUGUUCUCUGCUAAUUACCUGAUCUAAUUAACAGUACUACCUGGUUGGAAUGAAAAACAAACGCAUUGAACCUGACCACCCAGUGUGAAAGGCUUAUCAUUUUUAAAGGUCCACAAAAAGAUCAUAUGGCUAAACAUAGCCCUUGCUCAUCAUACUGCAUAUCAUCUUCCAUACUGCAUUUUAUGUUGCAAAUUGAGCUGUCAUUGGUGCACUUCUCUGGAGAAGUCCUUUCAAGGCAUCAUGGGUUUUGUAGUUUCUUAGAAUCGCUCCCAAAAAAAAGUUUUUAAUGUCUUAAAACCAACAUGAUCAGCCCUGAUCAUCAGAAGUGUUACAUUACAAACAAGUGCAAUAUUUCAAACCACAAAAUCAUGGGGUACAAAAAAAAAAACAACCAAGAACAGCACACUUUUUAUUUAAAACAGAUUAGUCAUUCUGCUUUAUUGUCAGCAAAACAACUCAAUUACCACACGUUACAUUUUUAUAAAAUAAAAACAAAUGCUUGCAGAUGUAUGGAAAAGAAAUUCUGCAGACUCUGUGUGUUUCUUUAAUAAAGUAUAAAAAGGAAAAAGCAGUUUAAAUAAAAAGCUGGGUCUUUAUAUAUUUCUUUCGUGACACUUAAUCCAUGCGGUUUGAAAACUUUCACACGUUACCAUCUCUCAAAAUACUUACAUCAAUUUUAAAACCACUCAAUAGCCCUGAAUAGAAACUCUUCAUACAGUAAAUGAACAUACCUGAAUAUUUUUACCAGAGGAAAUAUUAAAGAGAUCUACAUUUAUAUUGUCAAUAACACAGUCUACGAGCAGUGGAUGCCCUGGAAACAACUGGUAUUUGGG